rnacentral:rRNA from 1 species
UACGAAGGGUGCAAGCGUUACUCGGAAUUACUGGGCGUAAAGCGUGCGUAGGUGGUGAGUUAAGUCUGUCGUGAAAGCCCCGGGCUCAACCUGGGAAUGGCGAUGGAUACUGGCUCGCUAGAGUGCGGUAGAGGAGAGUGGAAUUCCCGGUGUAGUGGUGAAAUGCGUAGAGAUCGGGAGGAACACCAGUGGCGAAGGCGGCCGGCUGGGGGUGACCUGACGCUGAGGCGCGAAAGCGUGGGGAGCGAACCGG